ensembl:lncRNA
CCAGCAAACAGGAAGCAUUGUCAAACAGUUUGAAAACAUUUUGAUGUUUUGAGUCCGCUUAAGUGCAGAAUUAGAUCCCUUCUUCUGGAUUUUCCAAAUGCUUUAAAUGGGAUUCCCUGCUCUUAUUGUUUAUUCCCUGCUCUAUUGUUUAUCCCUGCUCUUAUUGUUUAUUCCCUGCUCUUAUUGUUUUAUUCCCUGCUCUUAUUGUUAUUUCCCUGUUUUAUUGUUUAUUCCCUGCUCUUAUUGUUUAUUCCAUUGCUCUUAUUGUUUAUUCCCUGCUCUUAUUGUUUAUUCCCUGCUCUUAUUGUUAUUGUUCUAUUAUCCUGCUCUUAUUGUUUAUCCCUGCUCUUAUUGUUAUUCCCUGCUUUAUGUUUAUUCCCUGCUCUUAUUGUUAUUCUCUUAUGUCUUUGAUGUUUAUUCCCUGCUCUUAUUGUUUAUUCCUGCUCUUAUUGUUUUCCCUGCUCUAUUGUUUUAUUCCCUGCUCGUAUUGUUUAUUCCCUGCUCUUAUUGUUUAUUCCCUGCUCUUAUUGUUUAUUAUUCCCUGCUCUUAUUGUUUGUUCCCUGCUCUUAUUGUUUGUUCCCUGCUCUUAUUGUUUAUUCCCUGUUCUUAUUGUUUAUCCCUGCUCUUAUUGUUUAUUCCUGCUCUAUGUUAUUCCUGUCUUGUUAUUCCCUGCUCUUAUUGUUUAUUCCCUCCUCUUAUUGUUUAUAGUCUCCUCUUAUUGUUUAUUCCUCUCUUAUUAUUAUAUUCCUCCUCUUAUUUUAUCCCUCCUCAUGUUCUUAUUGUUUUAUUUCCCUGCUCUUAUGUUUAUUCCCUCCUCUUAUUGUUUAUUCCCUCCUCUAUUUGUUUAUUCCCUGCUCUUAUUGUUUAUUCCCUCGCUCUAUUGUUUCUUCCUUCCUCUUAUUGUUUUAUCCCUCCUCUUAUUGUUUAUUCCCUGUUCUUAUUGCUUUUCCUUUCUUAUUGUUUAUUCCCUCCUCUAUUGUUUAUUCCCUCCUCUUAUGUUUAUUCCCUCCUCUUAUUGUUUAUUCCCUGCUCUUAUUGUUUAUUCCCUGCUCUUUUGUGUAUUCCCUGUUCUUAUUGUUUAUUCCCUGCUCUUAUUAUUUAUUCCCUGCUCUUAUUGUUUAUUCCCUGCUCUUAUUGUUUUAUUCCUCUGCUCUUAUUGUUUAUCCUGUUCUUAUUGUUUAUUCCCUGCUCUUAUUGUUUUUCUCUGCCUCUUAUUUUUAUUCCCUGUCUUAUGUUCUUCCCUGUUCUUAUUGUUUAUUCCCUGCUCUUAUUAUUUUAUUCCAUGCCCUUAUUGUUUUGUUUUUUCCCUGCUCUUAUUGUUUAUUCCUGCUCUUAUUGUUUAUUCCCUGUUCUUAUUGUUUAUUCCCUGCUUCUUAUGUUUUUCCCUGUUCUUUUAUGUUUAUUCCCUGUUCUUUGUAUUCCUCCUC